AUUGAACGCUGGCGGCAGGCCUAACACAUGCAAGUCGAACGAGUGGCGGACGGGUGAGUAAUGUCUGGGAAACUGCCUGAUGGAGGGGGAUAACUACUGGAAACGGUAGCUAAUACCGCAUACCAUCAGAUGUGCCCAGAUGGGAUUAGCUAGUGGGUGGGGUAACGGCUCACCAAGGCGACGAUCCCUAGCUGGUCUGAGAGGAUGACCGGGCACAAUGGAACUGAGACACGGGCCCAACUCCUAAGGGAGGCAGCAGUGGGGAAAAUUGGCAAAUGGGGGCAAGGCUGAUGCAGCCAUGGCGCGUGGAUGAAGAAGGCCUUCGGGUUGUAAAGUACUUUCAGCGGGGAGGCGUUAACCGAAGAAGAAGCCCCGGGUAAAUCCGUGCCAGCAGCCGCGGUAAUAC
rnacentral:rRNA from 1 species